rnacentral:lncRNA from 1 species
CUUCAGUAUCUGAAUUUGGGGAGAACAUAAGUCCAUGACACAUGUGUACAAAACUUUCAUUGGCUAUACAGGAAGCAUGAUGCUAACAUCUGCUCCGUUUCUGGGGAGGCCUCAGAAAACUCACUGUCAUGGUGGAAGGCCAAGGGGGAGCAGGUAUGUUACAUGGCCAGAGCAGGAGCAAGCAAGAGAGGGAGAAGGUGCUAUGGACUUUUAAAUGACCAGAACUCACACACACAGUGAUAUUAGUGUCAUAAUAAUAAUAUAUAACAACAUACAACAGAGCAACCAACAAGCUUAACACCUGAGAAAAGAUAGGUGCCUCCCAGAAGUAACAAACAUGAGUACUUGAUUACCUAGGGCACACAUAGCACAGACCAAGAUAUAAUCGCCUUGAAAGUGGAUGAAAAGAAUGCAGCUGAAACAUUUAUCAAAUUAUUGGAGGCCAAAUGUGAACACUAGUGAAGAUCAACUGUGGUUGGAGAAAUGAAGAACAGCAAAACUCUAACCCCGGGACAAGUACAAGAUUACUGAGAAAGCUUCACCCCACAAACUCAGGGGCACUAAGACUGAGGCUGAGCCGUAACGACAGAAUUUUCCCACUGUUAAAGCAAAUAAAUAUGGCCUGAGAAGGAUUUCUAUAUUUGAGUCCUUGUGGACUAACUGCAACCUAGCUUAACAGAGUAAGACCAUUUAAAGGGACCAAAAAUGGAUGAACAUACUUGGCACUAUGAACUAAAAGAUCUUUGGCUAAAGAAGAGAUGAAGACUCAUUCAACUCCUACAAGUGAAUUAAGGAGCUCUGAGAAGGCAAAGCCAGCCCAGGAGGGUGGACACACUAAGAACAAUGUGCCUUGUCCUGAUACACAGUUGUGGUAUAGGUAACAAAAUCUGAGUAUCCAACCUAAGAUGUUACCCCUCACCUCACCAGAAUACCUCCAAUCCCUUCCCUGGAAACACAGAAUAAAUUCCUAUAGAAAGUUAUAAAGCAGAAAAACAAGGUAUCUUUUGUGGAGUAAAGAAUGAUUAUGGAGGAAAAACACCAUUAACUGUCACAGAAAUAAUUGUGUCAUUCAGCAGAAUGGUAGCUCUAAGGAAGACAGCAGCAAUACUCAAG